GAGGUGAUGCCAUUUUGGUGCAACUCCCAAGGUUCACCCUAAUUUAUGGAAACCAAGGAGUGGCUUAGAGCUGAUGAACAAUGACCUUCCCAGCACCAACCCUGAAGACUCUAUGUCCUGCUUUGAUUUGUCCAAGAAUGAAAAAUAUCUCAUAUCAGCAACAGGAGGGGUGAUCUCCAUUUUUGACAUGACAACAUUUAAGAUAAACCCAACACAUAGUAUUCUUGAAAUUUUCUUUUCCCAGCCAAAACUUCCCAAAUCUUGUUUGUCAAUAUGCUUAGGUUCUGUUUGCAAAUUUCUCAUGCUCUAACUCAUUGUACUCAUAAAAAUCUGUUGCGUAAAAACGUAUACGAAGAAGAAAGUCAGGCCACCGCCACCUGCGGCAACAUGUCUUGCUUUUCACUCCCGAGAUGAUGGUAUAGUUGCUAUUGGCAUGGAAAAUUCCACCAUUGUUACAAGGAAGCUUGAGGGUCACUCCAAAAGAGUCACUAGCCUUGCCUUCUCGAACACUCUGAAUAUUUUUGUGUGGGAAAAACAGAGAAGCAAAUUGUUGCAGAUUCCAGAUGGGAAGGAGUUGAGAUCAUUGUCAGAUACUUACAUCCAAAUUCACCAGAAUGAGCUGCACCUCCUUGCCAUAAACAAGAAUCACCUUGCAGUAUA